GAUGAACGCUGGCGGCGUGCCUAACACAUGCAAGUCGAGCGCGUCUGAUUUGAUGCUUGCAUUGAUGAAAGAUGAGCGGCGGACGGGUGAGUAACGCGUGGGUAACCUGCCCUAUACACAUGGAUAACAUACUGAAAAGUUUACUAAUACAUGAUAAUAUAUAUUUACGGCAUCGUAGAUAUAUCAAAGUGUUAGCGGUAUAGGAUGGACCCGCGUCUGAUUAGUUAGUUGGUGAGAUAACUGCCCACCAAGGCGACGAUCAGUAGCCGACCUGAGAGGGUGAUCGGCCACAUUGGAACUGAGACACGGUCCAAACUCCUACGGGAGGCAGCAGUGGGGAAUAUUGCACAAUGGGCGCAAGCCUGAUGCAGCAACGCCGCGUGAACGAUGAAGGUCUUCGGAUCGUAAAGUUCUGUUGCAGGGGAAGAUA
rnacentral:rRNA from 1 species